rnacentral:rRNA from 1 species
GUGCCAGCCGCCGCGGUAAUACCGGCAGCCCGAGUGAUGACCGCUAUUAUUGGGCCUAAAGCGUCCGUAGCUGGCCGAUCAAGUCCGUCGGGAAAUCCGCACGCUUAACGUGCGGGCGUCCGGCGGAAACUGUUCGGCUUGGGACCGGAAGACCCGAGGGGUACGUCUGGGGUAGGAGUGAAAUCCCGUAAUCCUAGACGGACCGCCGGUGGCGAAAGCGCCUCGGGAGGACGGAUCCGACGGUGAGGGACGAAAGCCAGGGUCUCGAACCGGAUUAGAAACCCGGGUAGUCC